rnacentral:sRNA from 1 species
GUUGGGCAUGGUGGGUGCAUGCCUGUAAUCCCAGCUACUCAGGAGGCUGAAGCAGGAGGAUUGCAAGUCAGAGGUCAUCCAGGGCAAUUUAGUGAGAUCUUUUCUCAA